rnacentral:rRNA from 1 species
AUUGAACGCUGGCGGCAGGCCUAACACAUGCAAGUCGAACGUGCGGCGGACGGGUGAGUAAUGUCUGGGAAACUGCCUGAUGGAGGGGGAUAACUACUGGAAACGGUAUCUAAUACCGCAUACCAUCAGAUUUGCCCAGAUGGGAUUAGCUAGGAGGUGGGGUAACGGCUCACCUAGGCGACGAUCCCUAGCUGGUCUGAGAGGAUGACCAGAAAAACUGGGACUGAGACACGGGCCAGACGCCUACGGGAGGCAGCAGUGGGGAAUAUUGCACAAUGGGCGAAAGCCUGAUGCAGCCAGGCCGCGUGAGUGAAGAAGGCCUUCGGGUUGUAAAGUACUUUCAGUGGGGAGGCGUUACCUGCAGAAGAAGCACCGGCUAACUCCGUGCCAGCAGCCGCGGUAAUUC